AGAGUUUGAUCCUGGCUCAGGAUGAACGCUGGCGGCAUGCCUAAUACAUGCAAGUCGAACGAGAGGAAGGAAAGCUUGCUUUUCUGAAUCUAGUGGCGAACGGGUGAGUAACACGUAGGUAACCUGCCCAUGUGCCCGGGAUAACUUCUGGAAACGGAUGCUAAAACCGGAUAGGUAGCAGACAAGCAUUUGACUGCUAUUAAAGUGGCUAAGGCCAUGAACAUGGAUGGACCUGCGGUGCAUUAGCUAGUUGGUGAGGUAACGGCCCACCAAGGCGACGAUGCAUAGCCGGCCUGAGAGGGCGGACGGCCACAUUGGGACUGAGACACGGCCCAAACUCCUACGGGAGGCAGCAGUAGGGAAUUUUCGUCAAUGGGGGGAACCCUGAACGAGCAAUGCCGCGUGAGUGAAGAAGGUCUUCGGAUCGUAAAGCUCUGUUGUAAGAGAAAAACGACAUUCAUAGGGAAUGAUGAGUGAGUGAUGGUAUCUUACCAGAAAGUCACGGCUAACUACGUGCCAGCAGCCGCGGUAAUACGUAGGUGGCGAGCGUUAUCCGGAAUGAUUGGGCGUAAAGGGUGCGUAGGUGGCAGAACAAGUCUGGAGUAAAAGGUAUGGGCUCAACCCGUACUGGCUCUGGAAACUGUUCAGCUAGAGAACAGAAGAGGACGGCGGAACUCCAUGUGUAGCGGUAAAAUGCGUAGAUAUAUGGAAGAACACCGGUGGCGAAGGCGGCCGUCUGGUCUGUUGCUGACACUGAAGCACGAAAGCGUGGGGAGCAAAUAGGAUUAGAUACCCUAGUAGUCCACGCCGUAAACGAUGAGAACUAGGUGUUGGGGGAAUAACUCAGUGCCGCAGUUAACGCAAUAAGUUCUCCGCCUGGGGAGUAUGCACGCAAGUGUGAAACUCAAAGGAAUUGACGGGGGCCCGCACAAGCGGUGGAGUAUGUGGUUUAAUUCGAAGCAACGCGAAGAACCUUACCAGGCCUUGACAUCCCUUGCAGAGGUAUAGAGAUAUAUCCGAGGUUAUCAAGGAGACAGGUGGUGCAUGGUUGUCGUCAGCUCGUGUCGUGAGAUGUUGGGUUAAGUCC
rnacentral:rRNA from 1 species